rnacentral:rRNA from 1 species
GACGAACGCUGGCGGCGUGCUUAACACAUGCAAGUCGAACGGAAAGGCCCUGCUUUUGUGGGGUGCUCGAGUGGCGAACGGGUGAGUAACACGUGAGUAACCUGCCCUUGACUUUGGGAUAACUUCAGGAAACUGGGGCUAAUACCGGAUAGGAGCUCCUGCUGCAUGGUGGGGGUUGGAAAGUUUCGGCGGUUGGGGAUGGACUCGCGGCUUAUCAGCUUGUUGGUGGGGUAGUGGCUUACCAAGGCUUUGACGGGUAGCCGGCCUGAGAGGGUGACCGGCCACAUUGGGACUGAGAUACGGCCCAGACUCCUACGGGAGGCAGCAGUGGGGAAUAUUGCACAAUGGGCGGAAGCCUGAUGCAGCAACGCCGCGUGCGGGAGGACGGCCCUCGGGUUGUAAACCGCUUUCGCCUGUGACGAAGCGUGAGUGACGGUAAUGGGUAAAGAAGCACCGGCUAACUACGU